AUACGGAGGGUGCAAGCGUUAUUCGGAAUCACUGGGCGUAAAGGACGCGUAGGCGGGGUGGAAAGUCAGGUGUGAAAGCCUACAGCUUAGCUGUAGAACUGCACUUGAAACUCUCACCCUAGAGUAUGGGAGGGGCAGAUGGAAUUAGUGGUGUAGGGGUAAAAUCCGUAGAUAUCACUAGGAAUACCGAAAGCGAAGGCGAUCUGCUGGAACAUAACUGACGCUAAGGCGUGAAAGCGUGGGGAGCAAACAGGAUUAGAAACCCCAGUAGUCC
rnacentral:rRNA from 1 species